AACAUCGCGCACCUGCGGGAACCUGCGGAAGGAUCAUUACCGAGUGCGGGUCCGCGUGGCCCAACCUCCCACCCGUGCCUAUUGUACCCUGUUGCUUCGGCGGGCCCGCCAGCCUUCGGGCUGGCCGCCGGGGGGCGUCUCGCCCCCGGGCCCGUGCCCGCCGGAGACCCCAACAUGAACCCUGUUCUGAAAGCUUGGUGUCUGAGUGUGAUUGUUUGCAAUCAGUUAAAACUUUCAGCA
rnacentral:misc_RNA from 1 species